AAUUGAACAAUUGGAAAGUAUUUACUGAUAGAAUUACUAAUAUUACUUAUAUUUUCUGAUCGUUCUGUGCCGAUUAUGCUUCGCAAUACACAGCUACAGACACGCGAAGGUCAAAGGACCUGGUUGUUCUAUUGCAGUACGGCUAACUCCCGCGAAAAGCAAUCGAUCUUUUGACCAUUAAUUGCCAUCCAUGUCGUACGGACGGCGUGGAUUGCAACAUUGAUGAGGUCGAAUAGAAACAAUUUUAAGGCACGAGUCAGCCUCAUCAAUGUUGCAGUUCCCCCAUUCGAUAUUGCCUACACGGUCGUGUAAUUUACUUCAUAAUAAUUACCAACGCAUUAAACAUUCGUAGGUAACAUGAAAGUGUCAGCUGCCGAUUGUCCCAGAGACAUUAGAAACGCGUAGGGAAACUUAAGCUUUCUGAAAAUAUGAGAGCCUCUGCCAAAUAGAUCGGCCAAACAGUGAAUAAAAUACGAAUUAGGAAUAAUACGAAGCACGCUAUUAAUAUAAUAUAAAGGUAGUAAGGUAAUUCCUUUCCAGCAAACAGACUAAAUAGGAUUGUCGGUUUUAAAGUAGCGCCAGAAAGUGCAGUUUCAACUGCAUAUA